UGCUCAGUACAUCUUCCUCCUGAGACUCGAGGCUGAUUAGUUUUCUGCUGGCUGGAAUGAUCAUCCCAUCAGGACAGAGGGUUGCCUUUCCCCGAACUAGCUGUGGGAGCUCGGGAUGCUGCAGCACGACAUCUGAGGAGAAUGUGGGAUCCGAAUUGAGGAUAUUGGAGAGCUCCGGGCUAUUCCAGGUAUAUAUACAUGUAUGUACACGUAUGUAUGCAGCACACAGGUGUGUACACACACGUAUGUAUGUACCAGAUAUUUGCCCGAUGUCAAUUCAUUUUCUUGACACAAAUAAAUAUGUUUGAUGUCA